AUGUCAAUACAAAAUCAGCAUAUUCUGGUUGAGGUCCGAGGGAUUAUUCCAUACCUGCACCAGUUAACAGCAAGAGAGGUUUGCUACAUGGUACCAUUUCCCGACAUUUCUCUUUGUUACUCAUCACCUCUGUUUUAUUACUUUGUUGCAGAGCCAGUGCUGUUCUACACCCAUGCUCUCCUACUCGUAGCAUCACUGUUUACAUCACAGAUUUUCCACUUGUUUAAUCAGAGAGUUCAUUCAGCGCUAUAGCUGAAAGGAGACAAGACAAUGAUGAUCUAAAUGAGGAAUGGAAAAGACUGACUGAGAAACUUGUUCUAUAGAAGGAGAAGAAGAGUAAAAGGGCAAGUAAUACAUACAGGUAAGCCAGACUAUAUUGGAAUAUGACAGAACUACUGUGAAAGUAUUCAACUAAACAACUUACAUUUUGACUAGCAAAGACUAAAGUUAUGAAAGAAGCUGGAAUGAAAGGAUAUUAAAUAAGUUGACUGCAAUAUUCACAACGCUUGGAAUCCUUUAUCUUUUCUGCAGUUGGCCACUGACGCGAUUUGUCUUUAGAGGAGGUUGUGCUUCUGUCUCUGUCAGAGAAACAGACAAGCCAUGCUCACCCUCAUCAGGGAUUUAAAACCUGUAUUCUUAAAGCAGUAUCCAGAGAAGGAAAAAGCAGUUGUUCACUUCCUUCAAACUGAAGACUUCUUACAGAGUUAUAACAGGAAAACUAAGAUACUUAUCCUUUUACCACCUUUACCAUGCUUUGAAUCAGCCAAAAAUGAUUUAACAAGGGAUCCCUCAGCCUGAGAAAGCAGCAGCUAAUCACAGCAACACCAGGUACCCAGCAAACAUCAGUGCCUUCCCUACUAGAUCCAAACACAAAAUGACCACAAGGUGACCUGAUUUGGAAGUAUGCCUCACAACAGGACUAGAGGUCAACCACAGGCCAAAACACCCUGAGUUUCUAUGGUGCACGGACAAGUAAAAUCAUAGACUGGUUUGGGAUGGAAGAGACCUUUAAAGUCAUUUAACUCCAAACCCCUACUAUCAGCAGAGACAUCUCCUUCUAGCCCAUAUUACUCAAAGCCUCAACCAGCUUGGCCUUUAACACCUUCAGGGAGGGGGCAUCCAAAAAUCUCCCUGUGCAAACAUGCUAUGUAAUCUGGUUAUCUAUUAGAUGUGUUGAGUACCUAAGGGUAUAGCCAAGCUUUACACAUUUCCCCUAGCUGGACUAGAUGUAACCUUAUCAUAAACACUUUCUUCUACAGAGAAGUUUUCUUCAGCCAGCACCCCAUGCUGGAAGUUUUAAUGUAAAAUUUAUCCUACCUGGGAACCUCUCUGAUACAGGACAGUUAAAAAAAAAGAGGUAGUAGUCUCUUAUUUCAUGUUUUUUGUUGUUGUUGUUGUUUGUUUGUUUUUGUUUGGUUUGUUUUUGUUGUUGUUGUUUUGUUUAUUUUUUGUUUGUUUUUUUACACAACAAUUAUCUAUACUCUGACCUCAUUCUCCUCAUUCUGUUCUACUGCACAUAGGUAGAAUCAUUUACAGCCAAGAUUUUUGACAUGAGAUAGAUAUAUGACUUUGAAACCUGAAGCGCAUUUCUGUCAGUGCAACUGAAAUAUUAAGAAUACAUUUUCUCAAAGAGCAGCAUUUUAGCAUAUUUCUGAACUUGACAUAAAAUAGCAAUUUUGACAGUGCUCUUAUAUAACAAAAUGCAUUAAUUAACUCACUUUUUCUGAUUUCUAGUGGCAGUUACCUUUUUCAACCUUAACAACUAGCCAGAUUGCCAUAAUUACAAAGAGUACAUGGUGCAUAAUGUAUGAUCAGAAGCAUAAUAUACUUGAAGUGUAAAAUGCUCCAAAAAUAAAGCUAGAAUAAACGUAUUGUUUAUUUAUUGGCACAACUGAAACACAUAACUGCAUCCAAAUAUCUGACACUGAAAUAAAUGCCUGUGCAUAAUUCUUGCAAUUUGAUGGAUGUUAAUUUUCAUUUAAGCUAUAGGUUAAAGUUGACAAAAAUUCUAAUAUCUAGCUUACAAUAUUACAUUCAUAGUAAAGCAUUGUUUAUUUAACCAUGAUGAAUAACCGCUUAAAGCACUAACUAAUCAAACCAAAAUUCAAUUGUCUUCUCAAGACAAUCCUCUAUUUUCUGCUCAAAGUCUACUGAAAGGUUAUACAAGUUGACAGAUAUAAAAACUGAAAGAUCUUCAGAUUUUUUUUUUUUUGUUCAUCCUUCCAGACUCCAAAGACAAUUGUAGUUAAUGAGCAUUUUGGUUUUGAUUUGAGCAGGCUUUAGGUUAUCACAUUGCUGCUGCUCUUUCAGCCUCUUUUUGUUCCUAUUUGUUACUCACUCAUUAUAGUUCAUCUACAAGGGUCAACUGUAAGCUUUCUUGGGAAGCAACUACAUCUUCCCCUGUAGGAAUGAAAAAGACAAUAGACUUUGACAAUAUAAUUAGCAUAGCUAAAUUCUAAUAUAAACACAAACAAUAACUUGCAAUCAUUUGCAUUCACUGUCUGACACUACUGCAGCAAAUUCUAAACUGUCUUAGUAUCUGUUCAUGUCAUCAUAACAGGAAAAGUUCAUCAAGCCAAUGACUUGGCCAAAACAGCAAACAGGCUGCAAGAAGACUAAACAAUAUUAGUGCUGUGGGGGUUCAAGAACACUUCCAGCGAUGAGUACUGUAAGAGGAGAGAGCAGGAACAUCACAUAUUACACAGCCACCAAGAUAAGAUUUUCAUACAUGUAUAAGCAUUUUCAUUUACAGUUCUUUUAUUCAUUCCAGAGUGAACCUGGAAGGUAUUACAAGGCAGAAACAUUCUCCUGUUUUGUACUGUUUUCUCUUUAAACUUCUACAGCAGCAAUCUAAUGAAGCACAAAUGACUUGAAGCAUAUAAUGCCACCUGUAACUUUAGCAGCUCCAUAGAACCUUUCUUCACCUACUAAUAAAAUGAAUGCAGCUGACUAAGCAUUAGCCUGGUUUUAAAAAAGAACAGCACUGGAGACAGUAUCAUACCAUUUAGAAAUUAGCUGUUGAAGUCAAUACAGAUAAGAAAAAAAGAUGCAUUGACAAAACAUCUUGGUUUUCUAUCACCUGUCCUCCCCAAACUCUUCCCCUUACACCAAAGAAACAUUAAACUUACUUCACACAUGCAAGAUCUGGAAAGGGAGAAAAUCCUCAUUUCAGAAUUAAAAUUGGUUGAGCUAUUUCUCUUAUCACCUGUAACCCUAAACUAGAACCAAAAAUAAUAUAUUCUGCCAUCUAUAUAUCACUGCAGGACAAAUUCUAGUCCAGCUAUAUUUUCAAUAGCAUUCCGUAGGUUACAAGCUAGUUUGACCAGAUUAUUUCAAGGUGACUGCAUUUUUACAUAGCAUAUGCCUGACACCAUGGGUACAAUUACUACUACCACGUAGCUUCAGUUUUCAUGGGUAAUUAAUUGAUAAAUGACAACCGGCUCCUUCUUAGCUGCUACAUAAGUCCUUUAUUAACACAUUUAAUUCAAUAAAGAGCAAGAUAAUACAAAUCAUAGUGAAGGACAGAGAAUCAAUUUAUUCAUUUUCAUACACCGACUUUUGGAGUGCUCAGUAACAGAGUACGGCUCAUUGCUUUUUUGUAGGAUGGGUUAUCUUCAUCCAGGGGGUAACAAAGCAAAAUCAGACACCACUCUUUUAACAGAAUUAAGCUGAGGAAAGGAUAGGAAUCACUCAAGCCCACCCCUUAAGGUCAGUAAUUGUUCCUGCAACAUCAAUGAGGAAAGCUAAAUGAAGACACUGAACAUAAUAUGACUCCUUGGAAAACAAAAAAGGAACAAAAAGCAGGAUAACAGAAGAGAAACAAAAACUGCAAAAGGAGGAUGAGAGCAAAGAGUUGAAAGAAAAUUAGACUGUGCUCAUAGAAACAUAGAAAGGCCUGAGUUAAAAAGGAUCACAACGAUCAUCGAGUUUCAACCCCCCUGCAAUGUGCAGGGUCACCAACCACUAGACCACGCUGCCCAGAGCCACAUCCAACCUGGCUUUGAAUGCCUCCAGGGAUGGGGCAUCCACAACCUCCUUGGGCAAUCUGUUCCAGUGCAUCACCACCCUCUAUGUGAAGAGCUUCCUCCUAAUAUCUGACCUAAACCUCUCCUAUCUCAGUUUAAAGCCAUUCCCCCUUGUCCUAUCACUAUCCACCCUCAUAAACAGCCAUUCCCCCUCCUAUUUAUAUGUUCCCUUCAAGUACUGGAAGGACACAAUGAGGUCUCCCCAGAGCCUUCUCUUCAAGAGAAACAAGACCAGUUUCCUCAACCUUUCCUCAUAGGAAAGGUGCUCCAGCCCUCUUAUCUUAAUGGCCCUCCUCUGAACCCACUCCAAGAGCUCCACAUCAUUCCUGUACUAGAGGCUCCAGGUCUGGAGGCAGUACUCCAGAUGUGGCCUCACAAGAGCUGAGAAGAAGGGACAAUCACCUCCUUCUCCCUGCUGGCCACCUUUUUUUUUUAAAAAAAAAAAAAAAAAACAGCCCAGAACAUAGCCUUCAGGGCUGCAAGCACACACUGCUGGCUCAUAUCCAGCUUCUCAUCUACUAGAACCCCUAAGUCCUUCUCCACAGGGCUCUCAAGGAGAUCUUCCCCCAGUUUGUAUAAAUACCUGGGAUUUCCCUGACCCAAGUGCAGCACCUGCACUUGGCCUUAUUGAACCUCAUUAGGUUUUCGUCGGCUUCUGGGAGGAUCUGCUCCACGAUCUUCCCAGGCACAGAGGUGAGGCUCACCAGCCAUAGUUCCCCAGGUCUUCCUUUCUCCAUUUCUUAAAAAUAGGAGAAAUAUUUCCCUUUUUCCAGUCACUGGAGACUUCAGAUAGCUAUGAUUUUUCAAAUACGAUGGAGAGCAGCUCGGCAACCACAUCAGCCAUCUCUUUCAGAACCCUAGGAUGGAUAUCAUCUGGCCCCAUGGACUUAUACACGUUCAAUUUCAUGAGGAGGACUCAUACUUUUUCCACCAUUACAGUGGGACAGAAUCCACUCCACACACCCUUACACAGAGGCUCAUGGUCCUGGCAGACAUGGGAAGCCUGACCACCCAUGAAGACUGAGAGAAAGCACUCAUUGAGUACCUCAGCUUUUUCUAUGUCUGAGGAAGCCAGC
rnacentral:lncRNA from 1 species